GAAAUGAGCUCAUGCGUGUAAAUGGCCAGGCACCUGCUGUCUGCCAGACAAAUAGCAGCUGAAAUCGUGGCUCUUAAACUUGGUCUCUCUUGCCAGAUUAUGAAACAGAUUUUUUUAAAUGUUUAUUUGUUUAUUUUGAGAUAGCGCAAGUUGGGGCGGGGGGGGGGGGUGGGUAGAGGCAGAGGAAGAGAGAGAGAAUUAUCCCAAACAGGCUCCGCACUCCCAACGCAGACCCGUCCCGGGGGCUGGGGCCCACGAACCAAGAGAUCAUGACUGGAGCGGAAACCAAGAGUCAGACAUCCAACUGACUGAGCCACCCAGGCCCCAACAGAUUGUUUUUUUUUUUAAUUUAGUAAGUGAAUGAACGGCAGCAAAUCCCACAGUUAGGACAGCACCAAAGUUUCAAGACAAAAAUCACAGGAACCACUGAUGGCGCCCAGAGACAGAGCAGGAGUGGGGGAGGGGAAGAGAGAGAGGGAAACACAGAAUCUGAAGCAGAAUCUGAAAAGCAAGCUCCAGGCUCUGAGCUGUCAGCACAGAGCCAGAUGCGGGGCUCGAACUUGUGAACCCAGAGAUCAUGACCUGAGGAGAAGUUGGACGCUCAACUGACAGAGCCACCCAGGCGCCCCGUGAAUCGCUUUUAUUUCGGUAUGCAUCCACAUCUCAGCAUUUAGUGGUCCUGAACAGAAAAGUGGAAAAACGCAGCGAUUUGCCAGGAAGUCAAGCCCGCCAAUUUCGGGGAUCUGCUGUGCACACCGAGUUCUUUUUCAAUCCCUGCUGAGGACCGUGAGAAACAGCAGCACCAAAACCAAAGUAUGCACCGAAUUCAAGGUUCUUUUUGUUCCAGUUGCCACAUUCCAAACUAGACCCAAACGGAUUGCAAGAUGACCACAUGAGAACCCUGUGUAAAACUUCAAUUUUUAAAAGCAAAAGCAAUUACAAGAAAAGAAGAUUCAUUCAGAGGGAUCGUGUGUGCUUACAAGUGUCUUCUGUGGCCUUUCUCCAAGUUUAACCACCAAGAACUUUGAGAGCUGGCGGGUGUGAGUACCCCUGGUGACUGUUCUUUUCACUUUAUCAAAACCUGAGCUAAAAAAACGCAUCAGCUGACGAUGACAGCAGAGGGUGGCAGGGCUGAGGACCCAAUAUUCAUUCCCAGGCUGGUGGAGAGUGAGUAAAUGGGGUUCCAAAACUAAACGAGGGAAGUCAGAGACUCUUUCCAACCUUACCUGAUGACUUCUGGCCAAAGCAAGGAAGUAUUGUGGAAAGUGUUGGGUGGUGAUGGUACAUAAAGGGAUCAGAAGAGCA